rnacentral:rRNA from 1 species
UACGUAGGGGGCUAGCGUUGUCCGGAAUCAUUGGGCGUAAAGAGCGUGUAGGCGGCCCGGUAAGUCCGCUGUAAAAAGUCAAAGGCUCAAACCUUUGAAUGUCAGUGGAUACUGCCGGGCUAGAGUCCGGAAAGAGGCGAGUGGGAAAUUCCCUGGGUGUAGCGGUGGAAAUGCGCAGAUAUCAGGAAGGAAACAACCCC